UAGGGAAUCUUCGGCAAUGGACGGAAGUCUGACCGAGCAACGCCGCGUGAGUGAAGAAGGUUUUCGGAUCGUAAAGCUCUGUCGUUAGAGAAUAACGUUGGAAGGAGCGGAAAAUCUACCAAGCGACGGUAACUAACCAGAAAGGGACGGCUACAUACGUGCCAGCAGCCGUGGUAAUACGUAGGUCCCGAGCGUUGUCCGGAUUUAUUGGGCGUAAAGCGAGGGCAGGCGGUUCUUUAAGUCUGAAGUUAAAGGCAGUGGCUUAACCAUUGUACGCUUUGGAAACUGGAGGACUUGAAUGCGGAAGGGGAGAGUGGAAUUCCUUGUGUAGCGGUGAAAUGCGUAGAUAUAUGGAGGAACACCGGUGGCGAAGGCGGCUCUCUGGUCUGUAACUGACGCUGAGGCUCGAAAGCGUGGGGAGCAAACAGG
rnacentral:rRNA from 1 species